GGGUUGUGAGGUUAAGCGACUAAGCGUACACGGUGGAUGCCCUGGCAGUCAGAGGCGAUGAAGGACGUGCUAAUCUGCGAUAAGCGUCGGUAAGGUGAUAUGAACCGUUAUAACCGGCGAUUUCCGAAUGGGGAAACCCAGUGUGAUUCGUCACACUAUCAUUAACUGAAUCCAUAGGUUAAUGAGGCGAACCGGGGGAACUGAAACAUCUAAGUACCCCGAGGAAAAGAAAUCAACCGAGAUUCCCCCAGUAGCGGCGAGCGAACGGGGAGCAGCCCAGAGCCUGAAUCAGUGUGUGUGUUAGUGGAAGCGUCUGGAAAGGCGCGCGAUACAGGGUGACAGCCCCGUACACAAAAAUGCACAUGCUGUGAGCUCGAUGAGUAGGGCGGGACACGUGGUAUCCUGUCUGAAUAUGGGGGGACCAUCCUCCAAGGCUAAAUACUCCUGACUGACCGAUAGUGAACCAGUACCGUGAGGGAAAGGCGAAAAGAACCCCGGCGAGGGGAGUGAAAAAGAACCUGAAACCGUGUACGUACAAGCAGUGGGAGCACGCUUAGGCGUGUGACUGCGUACCUUUUGUAUAAUGGGUCAGCGACUUAUAUUCUGUAGCAAGGUUAACCGAAUAGGGGAGCCGAAGGGAAACCGAGUCUUAACUGGGCGUUAAGUUGCAGGGUAUAGACCCGAAACCCGGUGAUCUAGCCAUGGGCAGGUUGAAGGUUGGGUAACACUAACUGGAGGACCGAACCGACUAAUGUUGAAAAAUUAGCGGAUGACUUGUGGCUGGGGGUGAAAGGCCAAUCAAACCGGGAGAUAGCUGGUUCUCCCCGAAAGCUAUUUAGGUAGCGCCUCGUGAAUUCAUCUCCGGGGGUAGAGCACUGUUUCGGCAAGGGGGUCAUCCCGACUUACCAACCCGAUGCAAACUGCGAAUACCGGAGAAUGUUAUCACGGGAGACACACGGCGGGUGCUAACGUCCGUCGUGAAGAGGGAAACAACCCAGACCGCCAGCUAAGGUCCCAAAGUCAUGGUUAAGUGGGAAACGAUGUGGGAAGGCCCAGACAGCCAGGAUGUUGGCUUAGAAGCAGCCAUCAUUUAAAGAAAGCGUAAUAGCUCACUGGUCGAGUCGGCCUGCGCGGAAGAUGUAACGGGGCUAAACCAUGCACCGAAGCUGCGGCAGCGACGCUUAUGCGUUGUUGGGUAGGGGAGCGUUCUGUAAGCCUGCGAAGGUGUGCUGUGAGGCAUGCUGGAGGUAUCAGAAGUGCGAAUGCUGACAUAAGUAACGAUAAAGCGGGUGAAAAGCCCGCUCGCCGGAAGACCAAGGGUUCCUGUCCAACGUUAAUCGGGGCAGGGUGAGUCGACCCCUAAGGCGAGGCCGAAAGGCGUAGUCGAUGGGAAACAGGUUAAUAUUCCUGUACUUGGUGUUACUGCGAAGGGGGGACGGAGAAGGCUAUGUUGGCCGGGCGACGGUUGUCCCGGUUUAAGCGUGUAGGCUGGUUUUCCAGGCAAAUCCGGAAAAUCAAGGCUGAGGCGUGAUGACGAGGCACUACGGUGCUGAAGCAACAAAUGCCCUGCUUCCAGGAAAAGCCUCUAAGCAUCAGGUAACAUCAAAUCGUACCCCAAACCGACACAGGUGGUCAGGUAGAGAAUACCAAGGCGCUUGAGAGAACUCGGGUGAAGGAACUAGGCAAAAUGGUGCCGUAACUUCGGGAGAAGGCACGCUGAUAUGUAGGUGAAGCGACUUGCUCGUGGAGCUGAAAUCAGUCGAAGAUACCAGCUGGCUGCAACUGUUUAUUAAAAACACAGCACUGUGCAAACACGAAAGUGGACGUAUACGGUGUGACGCCUGCCCGGUGCCGGAAGGUUAAUUGAUGGGGUCAGCGCAAGCGAAGCUCUUGAUCGAAGCCCCGGUAAACGGCGGCCGUAACUAUAACGGUCCUAAGGUAGCGAAAUUCCUUGUCGGGUAAGUUCCGACCUGCACGAAUGGCGUAAUGAUGGCCAGGCUGUCUCCACCCGAGACUCAGUGAAAUUGAACUCGCUGUGAAGAUGCAGUGUACCCGCGGCAAGACGGAAAGACCCCGUGAACCUUUACUAUAGCUUGACACUGAACAUUGAGCCUUGAUGUGUAGGAUAGGUGGGAGGCUUGGAAGUGUGGACGCCAGUCUGCAUGGAGCCGACCUUGAAAUACCACCCUUUAAUGUUUGAUGUUCUAACGUUGACCCGUAAUCCGGGUUGCGGACAGUGUCUGGUGGGUAGUUUGACUGGGGCGGUCUCCUCCUAAAGAGUAACGGAGGAGCACGAAGGUUGGCUAAUCCUGGUCGGACAUCAGGAGGUUAGUGCAAUGGCAUAAGCCAGCUUGACUGCGAGCGUGACGGCGCGAGCAGGUGCGAAAGCAGGUCAUAGUGAUCCGGUGGUUCUGAAUGGAAGGGCCAUCGCUCAACGGAUAAAAGGUACUCCGGGGAUAACAGGCUGAUACCGCCCAAGAGUUCAUAUCGACGGCGGUGUUUGGCACCUCGAUGUCGGCUCAUCACAUCCUGGGGCUGAAGUAGGUCCCAAGGGUAUGGCUGUUCGCCAUUUAAAGUGGUACGCGAGCUGGGUUUAGAACGUCGUGAGACAGUUCGGUCCCUAUCUGCCGUGGGCGCUGGAGAACUGAGGGGGGCUGCUCCUAGUACGAGAGGACCGGAGUGGACGCAUCACUGGUGUUCGGGUUGUCAUGCCAAUGGCACUGCCCGGUAGCUAAAUGCGGAAGAGAUAAGUGCUGAAAGCAUCUAAGCACGAAACUUGCCCCGAGAUGAGUUCUCCCUGACUCCUUGAGAGUCCUGAAGGAACGUUGAAGACGACGACGUUGAUAGGCCGGGUGUGUAAGCGCAGCGAUGCGUUGAGCUAACCGGUACUAAUGAACCGUGAGGCUUAACCUUACAACGCCGAAG
rnacentral:rRNA from 1 species